UCUCAGACCGACCUAACCUAUUCUCGUUCGUUCGGCCGUCGCCGCCGCCGGCCGUCGGCUUCUGCAACUCGGUGGCACAGCCCCCUACCGCCAAACUUUCGACGCCUCUUCUCUACCAAUUACCUCUCCCAGUCGCGCGCUGUUGGCCUCACAAUCGAUUGAAGAUCCUCGGAGACUUUGUCCUCGCUCACCAAAGAGGGCCGAGGUCGUUACAAGGUUCCGGGAGUGGGCCUGGCGGCCAUCGCCUUCUCCAGCGUUGGUUUUUUCUGGUGAUCCUCGUGGCCCUGUAGCUUCGACUGCUGGCUUCUGCGGCGCGCCACUGCACGCGGGGGAGGAGUGGUCCCCCGGCUACUUCGAGCCCGCCACCAACGACCUGCUAGCUCGUGACCUGAUGCCGGGACGUAGUGGCUACACUGGUGAGGGUGGGGACUCUAUCAUGUCUUGGCCCCAUGACGAGUUUUCGAGCACUUCUGUGGACAUGGUUAAUGUGCUAAGGUUGCGAUAAACUAUCAGAUCCGCUCUGUUUUCUCUAGUUUCGAGCCUUCUAUUUUCUUCAAUGAUUCAGACCCAUGACAAGGCUACUCAGAUGGAUGGUGAGAAAAUUGACAUGGAGCAUGAAAAUCUCAGGUUACACUUGGGAGGUAAAAAGACAACGUCUUUUGAUAGUUGAUUUGGAAGAGCAGAUUUGGGACGAAAAGAAGACUACAACAAAUAUGUGACGCCAAGCCUCAAGAUGAUGGCAUUUCUACCAUUUCAGGUUGCGGUGAUAGAAGAGCUGGAGGCGAAAGUUAAAUAAAUAAUAACAAAGAUGUUGCACAAGACAAUAUAAAGGAGCUCCAGGUUCUUAUACAUAAGUUGGUCACAUUUUCGGUGCCGACCCUCAGUGUAGUCAUCGCCUUGGCUGCUGUAUUAACUUACAUGUAUGUAGCUAGAGUAAUUAUUCCAACCAUGUAGAUUCUUCGUUCCUGUAUCUUGGAAAUCAUGUGCUCAAUAGUAAUCCAGUUUGGUACUACUUGUGUUAUUCAAUUUGAUUCA